rnacentral:lncRNA from 1 species
GGCUUUCUUUCUUUAUAAUGUUACUUGAUUGGGUUUUUUCAAGAGGUUCUCACAUCAGCAUAUACAGCAGAAGUCAUAUUCAUAUUCCAUAGGUUCAUUUCAGCUACUGUAGUGGGAGAUCUGUUUCUCCUUUAAUCCAUGCAGGUGGCUCCUUCACCAUAUGUGGGACUUCAUCCCAUAUAAAAGUUCUCCUCGGCGUCUCAUGUUUAUGUAUCAACACAGUUCAAUUUGCAUAUACAUGUGCAUUGGUUCUCAUAUA